rnacentral:rRNA from 1 species
AUACGUAGGGGGCGAGCGUUGUCCGGAAUGAUUGGGCGUAAAGGGCGCGUAGGCGGCCCGGUAAGUCUGGAGUGAAAGUCCUGUUUUUAAGAUGGGAAUUGCUUUGGAUACCGUCGGGCUUGAGUGCAGGAGAGGUAAGUGGAAUUCCCAGUGUAGCGGUGAAAUGCGUAGAGAUUGGGAGGAACACCAGUGGCGAAGGCGACUUACUGGACUGUAACUGACGCUGAGGCGCGAAAGUGCGGGGAGCAAACAGGAUUAGAUACCCUGGUAGUCCACACUGUAAACGAUGAAUGCUAGGUGUAGGGGGUAUCGACCCCUUCUGUGCCGCAGUCAACACAAUAAGCAUUCCGCCUGGGGAGUACGGCCGCAAGGUUGAAACUCAAAUGAAUUGACGGGG